rnacentral:rRNA from 1 species
UUUAAAUUGAGAGUUUGAUCCUGGCUCAGGACGAACGCUGGCGGCGUGCCUAACACAUGCAAGUCGAGCGAUGAAACUUUCUUCGGGAAGUGGAUUAGCGGCGGACGGGUGAGUAACACGUGGGUAACCUGCCUCAAAGAGUGGGAUAGCCUUCCGAAAGGGAGAUUAAUACCGCAUAACAUUAUUUUAUGGCAUCAUAAAAUAAUCAAAGGAGCAAUCCGCUUUGAGAU